ACUUACGGCCAUACCACUCUGAAAACGCCCGAUCUCGGAAGCUAAGCAGAGUCGGGUCUGGUUAGUACUUGGAUGGGAGANNGCCUGGGAAUACCAGGUGCUGUAAGCCU
rnacentral:rRNA from 1 species